GAUGAACGCUGGCGGCGUGCCUAAUACAUGCAAGUCGAGCGAACAGAUAAUGAGCUUGCUCCUUUGACGUUAGCGGCGGACGGGUGAGUAACACGUGGGUAACCUACCUAUAAGACUGGAAUAACUCCGGGAAACCGGGGCUAAUGCCGGAUAACAUUUAGAACCGCAUGGUUCUAAAGUGAAAGAUGGUUUUACUAUCACUUAUAGAUGGACCCGCGCCGUAUUAGCUUGUUGGUAAGGUAACGGCUUACCAAGGCAACGAUACGUAGCCGACCUGAGAGGGUGAUCGGCCACACUGGAACUGAGACACGGUCCAGACUCCUACGGGAGGCAGCAGUAGGGAAUCUUCCGCAAUGGGCGAAAGCCUGACGGAGCAACGCCGCGUGAGUGAUGAAGGUCUUCGGAUCGUAAAACUCUGUUAUUAGGGAAGAACAAAUGUGUAAGUAACUGUGCACGUCUUGACGGUACCUAAUCAGAAAGCCACGGCUAACUACGUG
rnacentral:rRNA from 1 species